AUCAAGAACGCAUUGAUAAUAUUUUAUAAAAUAAUUAUGAUAAUUUCGCAAUUAAUAUUAUAAGCAAAUAAUACUUCGAAGCGUUAAAUUCACUCGCAUUUGAAAUUUCGCUGAUAUUUCUGUACGCGUUUGAGCAACGCGUCGCAAAUCAACUUCAACGCCUUGAAUAAUAAAUCAUGUCUUCUCGAACAGUCACAAAUGAAAUGUCAACUUGAUACUUGGACCUACUCGCUCGGGGUUUUACUUUCCGACAUUAAUACAUUAGGCACUGUGGCAUGCCUUUACGAAGGACGAGAGAUAAAAAUACGCUUGCGUCGCCGCGGAAGCACUUCCUCUUUAUGCCGUGGCACUUUGCCACCCUGUGUUACCCCACGGUUUAUACAAACACGGCAGCAGCGCCAGGGACUUUUUAUCGUGCCGAGGAGCCGAUAAGCGCGAGUCACUCAUGAGUCACGCUUCCGUUCCGCGCAUGAGGUGAACCCUUCGGACAAAGUGUUUCAUUCACAUUCGUCAUAAAACGAUUAUCGGGCCUGAUGCGCGCGACACAAUGUGAUUACGCAGCCAGCGCGUGAUACGCCUCCCCUCGAUAAAUACAUUUUCUCUUUAGCGAAAAAACAAUUUCCAGUGGAAGGACAAGAGAAGAGACUUGCCGAGUCAAGUCGUCUUGUUCUUCGGUAAAUUGCAAAAAUCUUUGGCCAUUGGUCGUGAUUGCACUUGAGCUAUUGGACGUUCAGCUUUUUCGAUAAGCAGGCGUCGUAAUCAGACUCUAUCGAUAGAACGGGAUACUUGAUAAAAUCGUAUAUAUAUUUAAGAUAAAACAUAUAAUUGGAUGUUGCACACUGAAUAAAUUAUCUAAGAUAAAAAAAUGCAAUUUCAUUGAAAAUAAAGAUAAUUAGGACAUUCCGCGCGUGAUAAUUGAAUAUGUAAUAAUAUUUUAUAAUGUACUCUAAAUUUUCACGGCAAAAUGAAGUCAAUAAAACACGAUAGAUAUAACGCGGCAUAAUAAGUACAUAAAUUUAUGUUUAAAGCGCUAACCCGCGAGUAAUAAUGUUACAAAAAAUAAUGCCGUCGGCUGCGUGUGAGCAUUGCGCUCCGGAGAUGCCACGCUGGUAAAUUACGCUUCCCUCGUGCGCAUUUUCCCCCCUUAUUGAGGAAACAACACCUAAUGGUUGCCGCGACGUGUCCUUGGGGGACGACGGCCGCCGCUCGCGAAAUGGUCCGCGCAAAAGAAGGCAAUAAGAAUCGCGGCGUGAUCUCAUCCGGGUCGGUAAGGCGCGGAUCCUUCGUGAUUCAGACGAAGAAACCUUAAACAGUCUUUCCGAGGAGCGGUUCUCGCAUAAAAUGCCAAGAUAAAAACGUCAGCUUCGCGGGAAAAGCGUCGUCUGUAUUUUUUUAGCUAUUCUACCAUAUCAAUGAAAAUAACAGAGAACUUUUCUGAAAAUAGAAAAAUGCGAAUCCGUGUCGUAAUACACAUUUAGCCAUAUGUGUGAUUCUGUAUUUUGUUUGUUUCGCACAACGACAUUUCUAAAUAAAAAGCAGAAAAACAUUCCAAAUAUAGAAUGUGAAUAAUAUAGAUCUUAAAAUCUUACAAUCUUUUGUUACGUUGCGAAGUUAUUCAAGAGCCGGUACAGCUCGAUUUUUCCUGACCAUAUUUGUACGAAAGUACAGACAUAGCUCGCAUUUGAAGCAAAAGAUUAAAUACGCCAUCACACGGGACUUAUAUAAAGACAGGCCGGCGUCAACAAGUUGCAUCAUUUUCCGACACGAAGAACUCGCCGAUCAUCGUGCGCACACAACACGUCCAACAACGCCUGUUGAAGUGACGCGUUUACAGAAUUGAAGAGCACUAUAAAAGUGCUCAUGAAACAUGCGAUCGAAUUUCCACAAUGUAUCAAAAGAAACUAACUGAUAUGAAAAGAUCUUACACGAAUAUAAAAUAUUUUUUCUCUAUAAGAAAAACACAAAUCUGCUAUUAAAUACUAUACUUUAAUUAAUAGUCCAUAUUAGUAGUUUAAAUCAUUCGAAUGUCCCAUUUGCAUCUCUCUGAUGAAUUAAUUCAAGAAUUAAAUAGUCAUAAUUACUCACUAAAUUAUUCUCGACGCAAUAUAAAAUGUAUGCCACCACUGUUUUAAUUUUCUAUUGUUCACCUCAUUUCUUCAAUUUUAAAAUAAUUUUUUAAAUACCGCUAUAUUAAUUCGCAUUUGUCUAUAAAUCUCCAUCUUCGAUAUGUCGUAUCAUCAUUAUUUCUAUCAGAGAACUAUAUAUUCGAUUGAGUGAUACAUAUUUUGACGAGAGUAAAUUAAUGAGAAAACGAUUCACAAUCAGUUAAACGGUUAAGCCUAGUUCAGACAGAAUAAUGUGCCUUCUAACGAGUUAACUAGCAAUCGUGUUCGUAAUUGGUGGCCUUCUAACGUAACACCCUACAGGCAUCCUAACGUACUAUCCAACCCUACGCUAAUUGUUCCGAUGCGAAAUUCUCCGCGUGUUUCGUAACACCUUCCCUCGCACGAUCAAUGAGAUUCCGGUCAACCUAUUAUGUUACACAACAUGUUACGAUAACGGUAAAUUUAAUUAGACGGAUUAGCGACAAAUGAUAUAGUAAAAAGAUGAUAAUAAUUAUACAAUUUGCAAUUUUUCGAUUUGUUCAUCGAACGUUGAGAACAAUAAAUUGGAUGGAUCAAUGCUAAAAUUGAUGCGCAAUGCAUCUAAGUAUUAAAUUAAUCACGCUCGAUCACAGCUCGUCUAAUAAAGAUCAAUCGAUUUCGGAAAUACGCGAUCGUCUUCGGCUUACUUUUGUAAAAGAUGCGAGAGAUUUGUCGACUGAUUCAAUUCUUUUGUUAUUUCAGAGAUGACCGUUGUCCGACGAAGGCACGGCGUGGCGCGCGAAAUCCACGCGAACGAACAAUGUGCGCGGCGCGUGAAGCAGCAAGUGUUUGAUGAAAUGCAAUUCACCGGCGUGGAAGAUCAUCUGCAAUAAUCUACAUCAAUCAAGCUGGCCGCGAGACGAAAACGGCCGUCAAUACCUAUCGGGCGAUAUCGAAGCGUUCGUCACUUCGUCAACGAGUGUCCGCCGAAUCGAAAGGUGACACUGCGACGACUCGUUCAUGUCGAUCACGAGGAUGCAUAACAUCGAGCGCCGCACACGUGUCACUCGUCGAAUUCGCCGCAAAUAAAAAUAGAGAUCGACAGCGGAAUAUACUCGAAGAAUCCAGAGACGAAAGACGGACCUUUCAGGGCAGACGCGGAGAGAAAGAAUUCAGUGAAGCAGACUGCUCGAUGCAAUCGGACUCCGGA
rnacentral:lncRNA from 1 species